rnacentral:rRNA from 1 species
AGGGAAUCUUCGGCAAUGGGGGCAACCCUGACCGAGCAACGCCGCGUGAGUGAAGAAGGUUUUCGGAUCGUAAAGCUCUGUUGUAAGUCAAGAACGGGUGUGAGAGUGGAAAGUUCACACUGUGACGGUAGCUUACCAGAAAGGGACGGCUAACUACGUGCCAGCAGCCGCGGUAAUACGUAGGUCCCGAGCGUUGUCCGGAUUUAUUGGGCGUAAAGCGAGCGC